UACGUAGGGCGCAAGCGUUGUCCGGAAUUAUUGGGCGUAAAGAGCUCGUAGGCGGCUUGUCACGUCGAUUGUGAAAGCCCGAGGCUUAACCUCGGGUCUGCAGUCGAUACGGGCUAGCUAGAGUGUGGUAGGGGAGAUCGGAAUUCCUGGUGUAGCGGUGAAAUGCGCAGAUAUCAGGAGGAACACCGGUGGCGAAGGCGGAUCUCUGGGGCCAUUACUGACGGCUGAGGAGCGAAAGCAUGGGGGAGCGAACAGG
rnacentral:rRNA from 1 species